rnacentral:rRNA from 1 species
CGUGUAGGCGGUCAGAUAAGUCUGGUGUGAAAGCCCUUGGCUUAACCAAGGAAUGUCGCUGGAAACUGUCUGGCUUGAGUACGAGAGAGGAGAGUGGAAUUCCCGGUGUAGAGGUGAAAUUCGUAGAUAUCGGGAGGAACACCAGUGGCGAAGGCGGCUCUCUGGAUCGAUACUGACGCUGAUACGCGAAAGCGUGGGGAGCAAACAGGAUUAGAUACCCUGGUAGUCCACGCUGUAAACGUUGGGCACUAGGUGUAGGAGGUAUUGACCCCUUCUGUGCCGAAGCUAACGCAUUAAGUGUCCCGCCUGGGGACUACGGCCGCAAAGGUUAA